rnacentral:lncRNA from 1 species
CGUCUACAAAACACCUGCCUCAAAAGUGUCACAGUCACGAAUGACAGGGAAAGACCAGGAAACCCACAGGCUGGGGAAGACUUCAGAGGCAUAAGAGCAGGAUGCACUGAGGCAGAGGCAGGAGAAUCACUUGAACCCAAGAGGCGGAGAUUGCAGUGAGCCGAGAUUGCCCCAUUGCCUGGGCAACAAGAGCGAAACUCUGUCUCAAAAAAGAAAAAAAAAAAAAAAAGCUUUUGUUAAAGCAUUUACAGUCCAUCACCUUAAGUGCAAGCACAUUGCUCGUAGCAUCGCUGAGAACUCCGCAAGGAUUAAAAACCAACAAAAAAGGAUGCAAAUGGCUUACUAGAAGAGAUUUACUAGUGGCGGGGGGAUUCAGUGAAUCCACUAUCUACUCUGAAAGAAACAUGCUCCUUCCAAUCUCUCCUCUGUUGACUGAAAUCCACAGAUGUCCGAGCCAGCCCUCUGCAGUGCAGAUGCAGCCCCCAAAAGACUGGAGCCCCUGCAGUAAGGACAUUCAAGCAGUAGCCAUCAGAGAUGCUUUGAAUAAUCAACUUUCCACCAACGCAGAAGUAAAUGAACGAUAAGCAAUGUAAACACAUAAAGACAGCCAGAAAUUGAACAAAUAAUCACAAACAAUGGGAAGCGAAAUAAGAAAAAAGAAAAGUAAAGAGGACUAAAGGAUUUGGGGUUUCUUUCCGGCUAUUUUUAUGACUGUUUCUUGAAAUCUAGCUAUAUUUUUGAAAGGGGAGUGGGAGAGAAUUUACAUUGACUCCGUGUACUCCAGAUUUUUUUUUUUACUUCUCCGAUUUAACCCUGCACCACUGUGUCUCAAACGAGGAAACUGAGGCUCCAGAAGCCAAACAGCUAGAAAAUGAUAGAGUUGGACUAAAACAAAGGGCUGUUUCUUGGGCUUGGAAGUCCAUCUUCUUUCCAUCAGAUCACAUUGAGAUACCUCUCAUGGGCUAGUUGUUUGAUGAUCAAAUGAGUUUUCAUUCUUGUGUUUACAUGGGAAGUGUAUGUAAAUAAACCAGUCAUUUGGGUCCUCUGAAUUCAUUUUGAAAUCUUUAAGCCUGCUUUGCUCUGUGAUUUUGCUUCACUAUUGGCCUUUGCACUGUGAAAGCACAUGCAUUUCUUUCUAUCCAACAAGCGCAGUAAUACUUACUAAUGUGCCUGUUUUCCAGUAAGCUAUCAGUACAUUUAAAAUAAAAACCUUAAGGUCC